UUCCAAGCUGACAUGAAGGACAAAAAUCCAAAAAGAAGAGGUGCUGGAGUAGGAAAGAAAUCCAAGAGUUCGUUCAAGAGCAAGUCAAGGUACAAGCGCAGGUAGUUUGAGGCUAACGAUCCUUAUUAAAAAUGUGUUCAUGGAAUGAAAAUGCACCUCAAUGCAAGACGUUAUUGUUAAUCUGACAUGGGUGCAAAGGCAUAAGACUUGUACCAUAUCCAGUCACCAAUGGAGGUGAUUAAAUGAGCAGCUCCUACCACCUGUGAGUUUUAAUUGUUUCCUUUUGGUGCUUUUGUGUUAUCAUGGUGCCUGGUUGAAUACUAGUUAUUUAGAUGUUCCUAGUUGAAUACCUUACUGAUUCUUUGCUUAGACAGAAUUGAAGUAGAAACUAAG